rnacentral:rRNA from 1 species
CAAUAGCGUAUAUUUAAGUUGUUGCAGUUAAAAAGCUCGUAGUUGGAUUUCGGGUAGGAUUUGCCGGUCCGUCUUUGAGAUGUGUACUGGUAAGUCCUAUCUUCUUGUCGGGGACCAGCUCCUGGGCUUCACUGUCCGGGACUGGGAGCCGACGAAGUUACUUUGAGUAAAUUAGAGUGUUCAAAGCAAGCCUACGCUCUGAAUAUAUUAGCAUGGAAUAACACGAUAGGACUCUGGCUUAUCUUGUUGGUCUGUGAGACCAGAGUAAUGAUUAAGAGGGACAGUCGGGGACAUUCGUAUUUCAUUGCCAGAGGUGAAAUUCUUGGAUUUAUGAAAGACGAACUUCUGCGAAAGCAUUUGUCAAGGAUGUUUUCAUUA